rnacentral:rRNA from 1 species
UACAGAGGUCUCAAGCGUUGUUCGGAUUCAUUGGGCGUAAAGGGUGCGUAGGCGGCGCGGUAAGUCGGCUGUGAAAUCUCGGAGCUUAACUCCGAAACUGCAUUCGAUACUGCCGUGCUUGAGGACUGGAGAGGAGACUGGAAUUUACGGUGUAGCGGUGAAAUGCGUAGAUAUCGUAAGGAAGACCAGUGGCGAAGGCGGGUCUCUGGACAGUAACUGACGCUGAGGAGCGAAAGCGUGGGGAGCGAACAGG